AAACGAUUCAGGCUCUAAAUAAGUAUCAUGCUGUACUUACCUUCAAAACCUUUCAGCCCAGAUGAAAUAAUGUUGCUGGCAUCGUGUAUCAUAUAUGCUUCUCUGUUUCUGUAUGGAGAAGCGGCUGUUACCAUGAUUCAGGAACUUAGCAUGAUAAGAAGUACAGGCAGAACUGCCCGAUUAAAAUGUGAAGUGAAUGGAGUUGAUGAUAUAAGCAGUGCAUAUAUCCAUUGGUAUCGACAUAAAGAAGUCAAGGCUCUGGUGCGGAUUCUUUACAAAGCAGCGGGUAGCACUGUUUACGACGACACAACAUUGGAAAACAGAUUUGUGGUUGAUAGAGCAGAUAAAACAGAUACUCUUACAAUAACCAGAAUAUUAAAGGACGAUUCUGCCACAUAUUAUUGUGCCUAUUGGGAUACUCACAGUGAUGCAAAGCCAUAG